AACUUGCUACCUGGUGGGCUGGUGGCCAUGGGAUCAAGCAAAGUUGCUGGAGAACGUGAUGCUGCUAAGACUAUUGAAACUGAGCUAUUCCUGCUCUUCAGAAACUUCAGAAGAAGAAAGGAAGAGAACUAAAAAGGAAACGAAGGCAAGAGAGGCAGCAGAAUCUUUUAACAAAUUUUUAUGGUGCUGGAAUUACACGUUCCUGUCACAGCAUAGGCUUGUCAAUUAUACAUUUGGUAUGGUGCAAAUAUUUUUUGGUUCACUUCUGAGUUGAAUUUUAAUAAUCUCCUUAUAAACCUGUAGUCAUUGUGGCAGUAUGAUAAAAUGAAACACUGCCCAUGUCUGAGAAGUUUAAGGUCUAUAUCGCUAUAAUGAAUGAUCCAUAGACGGAUAGACCAUACGUGGUAAGUUGCAAUUUAUGUGGAAAAUAGUAAUUGGAUUACUCGACUACCUUAACUGCUAUCCUUUUCAAUAUGAUGGCCUGGGAAAUUAGAGAUGUUUGAGUACAAACUUUGGAAGUUUGAAUAACUGAUGACAAUUGAUUCCUUAAUUUGUUAUGGAUGCAUACUGGUAUCACAAUAGUUACCUAAUCCUUAUUUUCUUGUUUUUUUUUUUUAUCCUUGCAUUCAAAUAUUUUUGAUUUGGAUAAUAUGCAGAUGAUUAUGACCGGGUCAUUCAUGAGGCUAUAAA